GGCGCAGGGGCUUCUCUCCCUCGCUGUUCCGCGGGAAGAGCCGCCUCAGCGCCCUCAUUCCGAGGGAGCCUCCCGUCCCCACAGGGGUCCCCUCCGCAGCACCCAUCUCCCCGCUCCGCCGAGGGCGCUGGGAGCUGUAGUUCCCUCCCGCCGCCUCUCCCGGCAGCCCGUUGCGCCCGGCGGGGGGCGCGGACUACACUUCCCGGCACGCUCCGCGGGAGAUGGGGGGGGCACCCCCGCCCUCCUCCAGCCUCUACCGCUGGUCUCCCCCCCAUCCCCGCCGCCUCUCUCGGCGUGGCGGUGUCCGAGCCGCCGCCCGCCGCGGGCAGCAGCGCCGUGAGGGGCUGCCCCGUUCCCGGGCCCUGCCGUUACCUGGGAGAGCCGGGGCUAUUUUUAACCUGGAUGUGUUCUGUGAUAUGUUUCCUACACAGCACAGAAACUGGCACAGCUGAGGGGCUGGGAGCCAGGAGGGCUGGUGCUUGGGACACCUCCUCCUGGUGGGCUGCCAAGGACGGUGGCAGUGUCCUCCCGCCCAGGGCGGUGGCCGCGGGCACACGGCAUCCCGAGCCUCCCCUCGAGACCUACUUCUGCUGGGAGAGGCAAGCAGUGGCAUCAACCCUCUGCCUCCCAUCCCAAAUGGAGCUGCCCCCCAGCAAGCCAGCUGUCCUCAAGGAUGACACGGUUCUUCCAGACUCUCACUUGUUCACGCAGGGCUGAUCCAAAAAAGAUGUUGGCAGAAGAUGUUACAGACCUUUCAAAAUCCCUCUUCAAACUCCAGCACUUCCUCCUCUCCAUCCUCAGACAGGAAUUGCACAGGUCUGGAUCUCACUACCCAGCCCUGGAGCCCCAACAAGCAGAAGCCGGUGCCCAGCAGCAAGUCCUCCCAAUUACUCCUUCUAAAAACACUUUCACCAAAGAGUUGAUUAGCACUAAAAGUGCCCUCUCUGAGCACCUGUACCAUGCACAAAGAUCACACACCCACUGCCCAGGGAGAGAAUGGAGUCCAGACUUCACCUGGAAGCCCUAACAGCAUCAGCUCCUCCAGCCUUCACUGGGAGAAAGAUUUUGGAAGCUUUUAGGAGCAGCCUGCACAGAAUGCUUGGAGCAUGACUGUCACUACCUGCAAGCUCCAGGGAGAGCAAGCAAGGCUGAAGGGACUUUGGAGAGGGAAUGGGUUUCCCAGAGAUCCAUCAAGCCAGCUUUGCAUGACCAAGUGACAGGAUGGGCUCUGCAGGAUUUCUGUUGAUCCUCCUCCAUGUCUUGGCAUUGGGAUCUGGCUCGUCGACCACUCAAGAAACUUUCCUUUCCUUUAUUUCACUCCAUUUCAUCCUUUGAUGUAAUGCUAAAUAAAAUCUACUUAUUGUUAACCACACCUCACAACAGCAGUGGUUAUGUUUGUUGCUGGUUUAGUUUCCAAGUAAUUUAAAUAAACAACUGAGCCAUGAGCAGAAACUACAAAACAUCCUUUUCCCCUGGACAUCAUGACAUGGCAGGCCAUUAAUAUUUCUUUA